rnacentral:rRNA from 1 species
AACAAACGCUGGCGGCGUGCCUAACACAUGCAAGUCGUACGAGAAAGGGUCCUUCGGGGCCUGAGUAAAGUGGCGCACGGGUGAGUAACGCGUGGAUAAUCUGCCCUUCAGUUGGGAAUAACUCAUCGAAAGGUGGGCUAAUACCGAAUAAUGCUGUAAGACCUCGGUUGAUCAGCCAAAGAGAGCCUCUGCUUGCAAGCACUCGCUGCAGGAUGAGUCCGCGUACCAUUAGCUAGUUGGUAGGGUAAUGGCCUAACAAGGCGACGAUGGUUAGCUGGUCUGAGAGGAUGAUCAGCCACACUGGAACUGAGACACGGUCCAGACUCCUACGGGAGGCAGCAGUGAGGAAUCUUGCGCAAUGGGGGCAACCCUGACGCAGCAACGCCGCGUGAGUGAGGAAGGUCUUCGGAUCGUAAAGCUCUGUCGGAUGGAAAGAACCGCAUAGGGGUAAACAGCCCCUGUGUCUGACGGUACCAUCAAAGGAAGCACCGGCUAACUCCGUGCCAGCAGCCGCAGUAAAAC